AUGCUCUCAUUUCAACUGGCAGCGCAGUUCGGGUCAUGAGCGACCGUGUAUACAAUGAGAGCAAGAGGGGGCGGUCACCCCGUUCUCCUCCCGUGCCAGUCGGCAAUCGCCAAAUCCAUCCGUCGGAGGCUCCACCUCCGCCUGGCUUGUUCGAGCGUUCGGCCGAGGUAGCUUCUUCGAGCCCUCCACCUCCUCCAUCUUCGUUUUCGCCAAUUUCUUCGGUAUCGCCUCCGGCCAAAGCUCACGUCAACUUGCAGCCACCACUUCCUCCAUCAAGCAUGCCGUAUCAGCAACCUCCCGCCCCCUGAAAUUUUUUAUCGAUGAAUCUAAGUGCAUGCUGUAUAAAUAGAUUGCUUCAGGUCCUAUAUAUCUACGAUUAAUUCUGGGAGCUUAUCCUUUUCAAUACGUGUACACCGGCAGCCCGUCGAGUACUAUAGAAAAUCGAAGUUCAGCUGAAGAAUUCCUCUCAAUUCUCAAAGAAUAUGAUGAUUAUGAUUAUACUUGUAUACUACACGUAUGAUAUACGUACCUUUUGAGAAGAAAUCUGUCAGACUUGUUUCUUCUGUUCUCAUCUCCAAUAUUUUUCCAACGCCUGACCAGGUUGCAGUGGGUACAUAUCUGACGACCAACGGCUAGCGCAGGUGGUUUUCCAGGAUCUGAAUGAUCACGUGCACUGCACGUGAAAAACAAUAUAAUUUGCACAGGGGUUUGCGUAAAUAUGGUUGCACUUAAAUUGAACAAGUUUCGGCAAGACCCAUGCCGGGGCCCAAGCAAGCAUUGUAUAAAGCGUUAGAAAUUUUCUCUUUACUCUAAUUUCCUUUAUUGCUUUAUUUUUUAAAAUUAGUCCAGACAAACCCGCUGCUGAGACUCUUUAUCCUCAUUUUCUGUUUCUCCAUUUGGUCCACAGAUCACUAAUGUUCGUAGGCCAUCCUUUCAGAUUUAGCUGCACUUUAAUUAUUAUCCAUAAACUACGGGCAAAUGGGCACCAAAUUAGUAAAUGGGAGAUCGUUUCGGUUCUUCUUCCACACAGCACACAUCCAUCACUAACCUGUCAUCCUUUCUUAGCAAGAAUCUCUCCUAUAUGCAGUCAAUUCUUGAGCACAAGCCAUAUAAAAAUUCUUACUUUUUCUGGUAAAGCGGCCUUUCACAGGUUCUUAUAAAAAGGACAGCGAAGGUCACCAUUAUUAAGAAUUUGUAGAAAAAGUUUACUAUAAGCAACUUUCUUGUGAGAGUUUCCACAGGGGGACAUCACCAAUUCAUGACGGUCUUACAUGAGAGAGAGCUUCUUUGAGGGUAUAUAAUUGAUCCAUCUGUUAUCUUGUAAGGGGUCCUCUUACUUUAACUUUCCAAGAGAGUGUGUUUCUAUAACCACUAUGAAGCAACCGUGUAGUCCUGCCUUACUGCAUUAGCAUAGAGCUCAGUAAAUAAAGAGGAGAGUUUCAAGAGCCCCAACCAGCUAUUCUCCCAAAAGCGAACGUUCGUGUCAUUUCUCAAUUUAAACGACAAACAGUUCCAAAAGGCUUCAAGUUAUUUGCUAAUAUCUUUCCAAAUAGGGGAUAGGCUUUUGAAGCUUUUGCUAAUUUUCAUCCCAAAUUUCUUCCUCCGAUAGUAAGCUCUUUGAAUAAGCUUCCACCAAAGGGAGUCACUGUCCUGCAAAAACUUUCAAACCCAUUUUGCAAGAAAUGCUAGGUUCAUUUACUCAAUAUUUUUUAUCCCCAGCCCUCCUUGUUCCUAGACGUAUGCAUUUGAUCAAUCCUGUUAAUGACCCAUUUUGGCAAUCUAAACACCGACAUAUAGUAAAAAGGAAGAGCUGACAUCACGCUAUUAAUAAGGGUAAGCCUAUCCCCCACCGAGAGAAAUCUUCCUUUCCAAGCAGCCAAUCUUCUAUUGAUCUUCUCUAACAGUGGAAACUAACAUUGUCUUGUAAGUCUCUUGUCAAAUAGUGGCAAGCCCAAGUAAGUAAAAGGUAGGGUACCUUUCUUGCACUUCAUCAAAGCAUCCAUUAUAUUAGUUUCCUCUUCAUGCAUAUUAAGGCUAAUAAUGAAGCUUUUAUGAAAAUUUAUUCUCAACCCUAAAGCUCCUUCAAAGGCUAGGAGAAUGGCUUUCGAUGCAACCAUACUAUCUUUUUUUGCGGCACAGAAGAGCAGAGUAUCGUCAGCAAAUUGAAGGCUUUUAAUAUUGUGAAAGACAUCAAUUUCUCUAAUUCUUUCAAUUUGCUCUAUAGAUCCUCCCUGUUUAAGAAGCCUCGCCAAAACAUCAGUAGCCAAGAUAAACAGGAAAGGAGAUAAGGGAUCACCUUGCCGAAGACCUUUGCAACAUUUGAUCCAAUUUUCUAGUUUACUAUUCAUAAGAAGAGCCACUACGGCUGAAGAUAGUAAGCGAUGAAUCCAAUAGGUGAAGAUCUUCGGAAAACCUCGUACUUGAAGAGCUUCUACUGAAAAAUCUCAGUUCAAACUAUCAAACAUCUUUUCAAAAUCAAGCUUGCAAAGAAUUUCUUUGAGGCCUGAUCUUUUGCAAAGAAUUUUUCCAUUCCAAACUAAACACGGUUUUGGGGCAAACAAAGACUUUAGGCCACCUCCAAAGAAACACGAUCAAAGACGACUCAAACGCUCCGCGUACUUUCGGUCAAGAGUAGCUUUCCAAUUAGACUAGACAGGGUCAGGUGUAUCCCUUGUAGGUCUUCCACGUGCUCUUUGACGAUUUCUUUCUUGGCCUAGUUCUCCUACAUAUAUAUAGCCCAAUAUUGUACGAAAGGCAUGGCCACCAAAUCAAUACGAUUAGCUUUUUUACUUGAAACUCCACCAUGAAACUGCUCCUGGGAUUGUUGUUGGCAUUCUGUGCUCUCAUCUCAACCGGCAGCGCAGUUCGGGUCAUGAACGACAGGAACAAGAGGGUGUCACCCCAUUCUCCUCCCGCUCCAGUCCGCAAUUCCGGACGCCAGUGGGUAAUCGUGACUCCACCUCCGCCUGCUUUGUUCGAGCGUUCGGCCAAGGUAGCUUCUUCGAGCCCUCCACCUCCUCCAUCUUCGUUUUCGCCGAUUUCUUCGGUAUCGCCUCCGGCCAAAGCUCACGUCAACUUGCAGCCACCGCUUCCUCCAUCAAGCAUGCCGUAUCAGCAACCUCCCGGUCCCCGAAAUUUUUUAUCGAUGAAUCUAAGUGCAUGUUGUAUAAAUAGAUUGCUUCGGGUCCUAUAUAUCUACGAUUAAUUCUGGGAUAUAUCUUAUCCUUUUCAAUACAUUUACACCGGCUGCCCGUCGAGUACUAGAAAAUCGAAGAAUUCCUCUCAAUUCUCAAAGAAUAUGAUGAUUAUGAUUAUAGUUGUAUACUACACGUAUGAUAUGCG
rnacentral:lncRNA from 1 species